AGGAUACAUACUACAGAGUACAGGAGUUUAAUACUGCCAAGGUAAUGUAAAACUAUAUUUAAAAGGCUCUGGAAUGCCAAGUUAAGAAGUACAGACUUUAUCCUCUUGCCUUGUGAUAUUAAACUGGGGCAAAAGUUACAAAACUGGGAGGACAGGAGAAAGGGAAAUUGGGAAGACAGCAUAUAAUUACAGUUUGAAAAUAAGCACAGCUUUGAUCUGAUGCUUCAAUUUGGCAUAGGCAUCCAAAAUUCUAAUAAUUUUAAUGGUGAUCAAAGGGAGCUUUGAGUUGUUUUUGAACUUACGUGUUUUGAUAACAAAAAUAAAAACAUGUUUCCAAUAUGGUCCUACAUAAAUGUAUUAGUAAACAGAACUAAGUAGCAACACUGGGACUAAAAUUCACAUAUCCUGAUUUUAUAAUCAGCAUGCUUUCUAUUAUUCCACAGAUGCCAACACUUGAAAAUGGUAUUUUAGGAAAGUGAGUACAAUAUGCAGAAUGGAUUGGAUGAGGCAAGAAACUAGAGGCAAGAAGAGAACAGCUAUUGCUGUAAUCACUCUUAAAUCACCCACAAGUUACAAGGAUAUUGUUAUUUUUGCAGAAACGCCAGUGACAUGUGGAUAAUGAAAUACAACCACAGUUGUAUAAGUAUAUCUUUAUGCAUAUAAAGGGGAAAAGCAGUUCUCAAGCUCAUCUAAGAGACAAGCUCUUCAGACCAUUUGAAGAAUCCACUUGAAGAAUAAAUCUCUUACAAUUUUUUUUAAUGUUUAUUUAUUUUUAAGGGGUGGGGGGCAGAAAGAAGAGGACAGAGGAUCCAAAGCAGUAUCUAUGCCUAUAGCAGUGAGCCCAAUGUGGUGCUUGGAUUCACAAACCGUGAUGAUGACCUGAGCCAUAAGUCAAACACUCAGUGGACUGAGCUACCCAGGCACCCCUCUCCAUCUCAGAAUUUUAAGCUCACUACAAUUUCUGCUCAUGCAAUGGCCACUAAUGCCUAUUAAGUGCCAAGUACUAUAUUAGGCAAGAAGGAUACACAGAUAA